rnacentral:rRNA from 1 species
UACGUAGGGGGCUAGCGUUGUCCGGAAUCAUUGGGCGUAAAGCGCGUGUAGGCGGUCCGGUAAGUCCGCUGUGAAAGUCGGGGGCUCAACCCUCGGAUGCCGGUGGAUACUGUCGGGCUUGAGUACGGAAGAGGCGAGUGGAAUUCCUGGUGUAGCGGUGAAAUGCGCAGAUAUCAGGAGGAACACCAAUUGCGAAGGCGGCCGGCUGGGCCGGGUCCGACGCUGAGGCGCGAAAGCGUGGGGAGCAAACAGG